rnacentral:rRNA from 1 species
AUUGAACGCUGGCGGCAUGCUCUACACAUGCAAGUCGAACGGUAACAGGCCGCAAGGUGCUGACGAGUGGCGCACGGGUGAGUAAUGCAUCGGAACGUGCCCAGUCGUGGGGGAUAACUACUCGAAAGAGUAGCUAAUACCGCAUACGAUCUAUGGAUGAAAGCGGGGGACCGUAAGGCCUCGCGCGAUUGGAGCGGCCGAUGUCGGAUUAGGUAGUUGGUGGGGUAAAGGCUCACCAAGCCAACGAUCUGUAGCUGGUCUGAGAGGACGACCAGCCACACUGGGACUGAGACACGGCCCAGACUCCUACGGGAGGCAGCAGUGGGGAAUUUUGGACAAUGGGCGCAAGCCUGAUCCAGCAAUGCCGCGUGCAGGAAGAAGGCCUUCGGGUUGUAAACUGCUUUUGUACGGAACGAAACGGCUCUGGUUAAUACCCGGGGCUAAUGACGGUACCGUAAGAAUAAGCACCGGCUAACUACGUG